GAGCCCACGGCUCGCUUCGUAGUGGCACCCCCACGACGACCUCAGCUAGCUCGGGCUGUCACUUGUCUCUGCUACCCUCCUGUGCAACUGCCUCUGUCUCGAGACAGCCAUUUGGUCUGCUUCGUCCCCUCCGGUACCGCUCCUCCGUUUGUCGCCGCUGCGAACCUGAACCCGCUCCGAAGCCGAGCCGCCGCGUCCUUGCCGCUCCUCCCUGAACCGUAGCCCCGCCGCGCGACGUUCCAGCCCCUGCGCUCGCAGGUACCGCCGCCUCACGUGACAAACUCUGUCUCGCUCUUUAGUUAUACACACUCUCUCUUUUUUCUCCUUCUUUCUCUCGUGCCCUUCUUGUCUUGUCUCUUCUUCCCACCGUGGGUAGACGACCGAGGCCGUUCGACACCGACCACCAACGGCCGCCGCCGCACGUUUUGGUGUCCUCCUCGAGGAGAGCACCCCGAGCCCACGCCCCUUAGCACCCUCCUCCGACGCUCCUGCCCGCGCGAGCCCGCGAGCGAGCUAGAGGAGCACGAGCCGCCACCCACCCUCUCCUGACCUAGCCCUCCCCCGCCGCCGCCACCCCUCUAACCCUCGUCCCUCCUCCCCACGCUAUC
rnacentral:rRNA from 1 species